AAAUAAUUAAUUAUCCCUCCUUACCCUUUAUUUAUCCCUCUCUCACUCUCAUCCAAACAGACCUAAGAAGCAAAGCUUGAUCCCCGGAAGAAGAAGCACCCCCUUCUGAAAAGGAAGAAGAUGGGGCCAGCCUUGGUCUCUUUUUAUCAUCCUCCACUUCUAAACUGAAUCCUGAGAUGCAUCCUUCGUUGGCCCAACAUCAUAGCUGAAAGGCCCAACAUCAGUUUGCAUAGGUUGACCGUGGGGCCCAUGGGGAAAA
rnacentral:misc_RNA from 1 species